GAGAGAGAGAGAGAGACGCUGACAAAAUCCGAUUUAAAAUAAGAUGUUGAGUUAUUAACAGCUUUUGAGUAGUCUCUAUUCAGUCUGAACACAGUUGAUGCACAUUAGGAAUAUUGGUUGACGGUGGACGGACUCCGCAUGCGAGGCAUGGGCAAGAGACGUAAGAAAGAGCCGUAGACAUUGCAAGAAUAUAAUGAAACGAAACGACGUCGAUGGAUGUGGUGGGAGUUGGAGGGGGAGAGUGUUAGAAUGGCCAAGUCAAAGUCCAGACCUGAAUCCAAUCGAGAAUCUGUGGAAAGAACGGAAAACUGCUGUUCACAAAUGCUCUCCAUCCAACCUCACUGAGCUCGAGCUGUUUUGCAAGGAGGAAUGGGAAAACAUUUCAGUCUCUCGAUGUGCAAAACUGAUAGAGACAUACCCCAAGCGACUUACAGCUGUAAUCGCAGCAAAAGGUGACGCUACAAAGUAUUAACUUAA